CCUACGGGAGGCAGCAGUGGGGAAUAUUGCGCAAUGGGCGAAAGCCUGACGCAGCGACGCCGCGUGAGGGAUGAAGGUCUUCGGAUCGUAAACCUCUGUCAGCAGGGAAGUACGGUCACUGUGCUAAUCAGCAGUGAAUUGACGGUACCUGCAAAGGAAGCACCGGCUAACUCCGUGCCAGCAGCCGCGGUAAUACGGAGGGUGCGAGCGUUAAUCGGAAUUACUGGGCGUAAAGCGCUCGUAGGCGGUAUGUCAAGUCAAGGGUGAAAUCCCCGCGCUCAACGUGGGAACUGCCGUUGAAACGGGCAAACUGGAGUGUGUGAGAGGAUAGUGGAAUUCCAGGUGUAGGAGUGAAAUGCGUAGAUAUCUGGAGGAACAUCAGUGGCGAAGGCGACUAUCUGGCACAUAACUGACGCUGAGGAGCGAAAGCGUGGGUAGCAAACAGGAUUAGAUACCCGUGUAGUC
rnacentral:rRNA from 1 species